CCUACGGGAGGCAGCAGUGGGGAAUAUUGGACAAUGGGCGCAAGCCUGAUCCAGCCAUGCCGCGUGUGUGAAGAAGGUCUUCGGAUUGUAAAGCACUUUAAGUUGGGAGGAAGGGCAUUAACCUAAUACGUUAGUGUUUUGACGUUACCGACAGAAUAAGCACCGGCUAACUCUGUGCCAGCAGCCGCGGUAAU
rnacentral:rRNA from 1 species